GUGCCCUAGCGGCGAACGGGUGAGUAACACGUGGGCAACCUGCCCUCAGCUCUGGGAUAACUCCAAGAAAUUGGUGCUAAUACCGGAUGUGACCGCUGACCGCAUGGUCUGGUGGUGGAAAGAUUCAUCGGCUGAGGAUGGGCCCGCGGCCUAUCAGCUUGUUGGUGGGGUAAUGGCCUACCAAGGCGACGACGGGUAGCCGGCCUGAGAGGGUGACCGGCCACACUGGGACUGAGACACGGCCCAGACUCCUACGGGAGGCAGCAGUGGGGAAUAUUGCGCAAUGGGCGAAAGCCUGACGCAGCGACGCCGCGUGAGGGAUGACGGCCUUCGGGUUGUAAACCUCUUUCAGUAGGGACGAAGCGAAAGUGACGGUACCUACAGAAGAAGCACCGGCCAACUACGUGCCAGCAGCCGCGGUAAUACGUAGGGUGCAAGCGUUGUCCGGAAUUAUUGGGCGUAAAGAGCUCGUAGGCGGUCUGUCGCGUCGGCUGUGAAAACCCGAGGCUCAACCUCGGGCCUGCAGUCGAUACGGGCAAACUAGAGUACUGCAGGGGAGACUGGAAUUCCUGGUGUAGCGGUGAAAUGCGCAGAUAUCAGGAGGAACACCGGUGGCGAAGGCGGGUCUCUGGGCAGUAACUGACGCUGAGGAGCGAAAGCGUGGGGAGCGAACAGGAUUAGAUACCCUGGUAGUCCACGCCGUAAACGUUGGGCGCUAGGUGUGGGGGCCAUUCCACGGUCUCCGUGCCGCAGCU
rnacentral:rRNA from 1 species